GACGAACGCUGGCGGCGUGCUUAACACAUGCAAGUCGAACGGAAAGGCCCUUCGGGGUACUCGAGUGGCGAACGGGUGAGUAACACGUGGGUGAUCUGCCCUGCACUUUGGGAUAAGCCUGGGAAACUGGGUCUAAUACCGGAUAGGACUACGGCCUGCAUGGGUUGUGGUGGAAAGCUUUUGCGGUGUGGGAUGGGCCCGCGGCCUAUCAGCUUGUUGGUGGGGUGAUGGCCUACCAAGGCGACGACGGGUAGCCGGCCUGAGAGGGUGACCGGCCACGCUGGGACUGAGAUACGGCCCAGACUCCUACGGGAGGCAGCAGUGGGGAAUAUUGCACAAUGGGCGCAAGCCUGAUGCAGCGACGCCGCGU
rnacentral:rRNA from 1 species